CUAUCAUUAACUGAAUCCAUAGGUUAAUGAGGCGAACCGGGGGAACUGAAACAUCUAAGUACCCCGAGGAAAAGAAAUCAACCGAGAUUCCCCCAGUAGCGGCGAGCGAACGGGGAGGAGCCCAGAGCCUGAAUCAGUGUGUGUGUUAGUGGAAGCGUCUGGAAAGGCGCGCGAUACAGGGUGACAGCCCCGUACACAAAAAUGCACAUAUUGUGAGCUCGAUGAGUAGGGCGGGACACGUGGUAUCCUGUCUGAAUAUGGGGGGACCAUCCUCCAAGGCUAAAUACUCCUGACUGACCGAUAGUGAACCAGUACCGUGAGGGAAAGGCGAAAAGAACCCCGGCGAGGGGAGUGAAAAAGAACCUGAAACCGUGUACGUACAAGCAGUGGGAGCCUCUUAAUGGGGUGACUGCGUACCUUUUGUAUAAUGGGUCAGCGACUUAUAUUCUGUAGCAAGGUUAACCGAAUAGGGGAGCCGAAGGGAAACCGAGUCUUAACUGGGCGUUAAGUUGCAGGGUAUAGACCCGAAACCCGGUGAUCUAGCCAUGGGCAGGUUGAAGGUUGGGUAACACUAACUGGAGGACCGAACCGACUAAUGUUGAAAAAUUAGCGGAUGACUUGUGGCUGGGGGUGAAAGGCCAAUCAAACCGGGAGAUAGCUGGUUCUCCCCGAAAGCUAUUUAGGUAGCGCCUCGUGAAUUCAUCUCCGGGGGUAGAGCACUGUUUCGGCAAGGGGGUCAUCCCGACUUACCAACCCGAUGCAAACUGCGAAUACCGGAGAAUGUUAUCACGGGAGACACACGGCGGGUGCUAACGUCCGUCGUGAAGAGGGAAACAACCCAGACCGCCAGCUAAGGUCCCAAAGUCAUGGUUAAGUGGGAAACGAUGUGGGAAGGCCCAGACAGCCAGGAUGUUGGCUUAGAAGCAGCCAUCAUUUAAAGAAAGCGUAAUAGCUCACUGGUCGAGUCGGCCUGCGCGGAAGAUGUAACGGGGCUAAACCAUGCACCGAAGCUGCGGCAGCGACGCUUAUGCGUUGUUGGGUAGGGGAGCG
rnacentral:rRNA from 1 species